CAUUCACAAUCAGUCAAUCGCGUACCACCGGCUACAGUAGUCGACUGCGAGGGUCACUACGAAUCGCCGGCGUUUUUAGGGUUUCAAACUAAUAAACUACAUUGAACUUCGUAUUUUCUGGUUAUUCGUAUAUAAAUUUUGCCCGUGAAAGUGCAAAGUUUAAGUAGUGCUACUCUUAAUCACAGUUUCUUACUUCAAUUGAACUUAUUUUGAGGUAUGGAGUGGGAAGGGCCGCCCAAGCAAGGCUUGUACGACCCUCAGAACGAGCACGAGGCUUGCGGCGUUGGUUUUGUUGUUGCUAUCGACGGGAAACGUUCUCAUAAAAUCGUUCGAGAUGCAGAAACUCUCGCAAAACGUAUGGAACAUCGUGGCGCCUGCGCAUGCGACAACGAUACCGGCGACGGCGCCGGAGUUCUGACAGCUAUACCGCAUCAAUUCUACUGCGCUCAGCUUAGGUAAGUACACAAACAAAUAUACAACUUCAAAUAAAGGCAGCUAAAAUGAAAAUAAAACCACUUGA